UUUGGCCCCUGCCUCCUGCUGAAUUUGCAUCACUUUGUCCUUGAUCCUGGAGUUUAAAUACUCCUUCAAGCCGUCAAUAAAUAACUUGAGUAAAAGGUGUUUAAAGAUAUUGCCACAGACUGAGCACUAGACAGCAAAGUUUCCUUAUGCACACGGUUUAAGAACAUACCGAAUACUUUGAGACAAGCCACCAAGUCAUAUUUCACAAUCGCUCUUGGAUUGAAAGGUCACAGCAAUGGCUCUGUUCCCACAUUGUGGUUUAUUUUCUUAUUCUUUCGAUGAGCCCCAAGUCAGGAUUUAGCCUGGGCUCGGGAGAGCCGUGAGAAAGCUGUCAGAGUGGUCAUGUUGGUGUUUUGAGGAUGCAGCAGGAGUCCAUGGAGAUGACUGCAGAGCUGAAUGAGCUGAAAGGAGGUCUGGGCCAUAACUCUGGAGCAGACACCGUAGUGAAAACUACCAGGAGCACCUGAAUCAGUUCCAGGAUUCUUUUCUCUUCCAGCUCUGGAUAACAAAGAAUUAGUGACAUGAAGGAUUUAGAAACCCUCCCUGGAGACUGCAUCCUUCAGAUCUGUGUUUGCUGUUUCUCUGCAGGGAUCCACUGGCUGAUCUGAAGCGUUCUUCAGUGCAGCGUGAAUACUUUUUGUGCUGUGAACUCAGUCUUACAAGUGCUGUAGCCAAAACCAGCUAAUCAGAGGAGCACCAAUAAAGCCAAUAACUGCUCAGGCUGUGCUUUCAGCCACUCAUGCAUGUGCCACAGUUAUUCAUUCACUUCCUCCACUUUGGUAGUCUUGUAGACUUUGAGACAGGCUUGUGUUUUCCCAGGCAGGAGCUCUUCCUUUUCUUCCAUACAUCUUUACAGACAUUUAAACCAAAGGUUUCUCCCUCUGGGCUGUGUCACUUUCUUUGCUGCCUCUGCGGUGAUGCGGGCGAUUUAAGCCUUUUAAUAAAACAUAGCUCUGAUCUGUCUCUUUCUUUGCCUUUAAAGUAUUGACUGCGUUGAGUGUUAGUCCAGGUAUCAAACAAGACAGCAUGGUGCUUGGAGUUUCGGAUGGAUGUAGGUGAUCUGAAACCUCAGCCCAGCUGUCUGGUAUUUAUAGAUCCGUAGCGAUUCCUUUCUAGUCCAGGGUACAAAAUAUCAAACCCAGAUUUCUUUUCCCCUACCUACUCUUUAAACUGGGCAACCUACAAGAUGAAUAUUUGGCUGUGUAAGCGUCCCCACAGGAGAAGAUGUUUUCAUUACCUUCUUCUCUCUAUGCUUCUCUAAUUUGGCUAAUUCUUGUCAUAGUUUGACAUUUGGUCCAUCAUAUUUAACUACUUUUCUACCAAUGUCUGGGCUGGAUGAUUGCCAUUAAGAAAAAAAAACCAACAUAUUCCCCGGCCAAAGUUCCAUGUAGUUCUUUACAUUUCUUUCCUUUUGAAGAGUAAUAAUGACCAUGGAGAAAUGGGAUACGUCUUUGGGGAUCAGCUGAGAAUACACUGCUGUCUCAAAGAGCUUGCAAAGAUUUACUUUAUGCACAGUGGUAAAAAGAUUUUCUGUAAUGCCAUUUAAAAUUUCAAUGGAAAAGCGAGUAGAAGGAUGAAAGUUGGUACAUUUGCCUACACCUUCACUGUAUCUUUAUGCCCUUUCUUGUCUUCUUUGACCUUUACCCUUCCCCACUGUCCAUCUUGCCCCUCCUGCCCUCCGUGUGCCCACACGGUCCUGCUCUCCUCUCCCCUUGCCCCAGUCCCUGCGAAACCUUACCAAUUUAAAUGCAGUUUCCUUUGCAUGUGGACUUCUGUGUUGUUAGCUGUGUCCUCCUACCCAAACUCCCUUCUCAGCCUGGCUCCCUAACAUCUGAGGACACCUGGCCCUCAUCUAGGGCCCAUCAUAGCUGAAGGGGAACUGUUGUUCUCAUUCCAAGUGACUCUUUUUCUCUUCUUAAAUCACUAGCAUUAUCACCUCCUCUUACCCAUCGUUUGCGCUUACAGCCUGGAUGUCAUCCUCACCUUAGACUUUCUUUUCUAUUCUCAAGGUCAUGUAGACACUUUCCCCACAACACCUUCCUACUGUUUACACAACCAAGAUGCUGUGCAGGCUCUUUCUGCUCAUAUUUUGAGUUCUGCAGCAUCUUUUCCUGAGCCUUGGCCCACCAUAGUCCACCCAACUUGUUGCUACGCUUUUAUUAUAGCACAUCGCUACUGACCACGUUCACCAUCAGUCUUUUUCCUGGGCUUCCUGGGCUACCCACAUCCACCCCUUGCUUCAUGCCAGACUCUCACAGAAGAGCUCUGAGACAAGGACCUCCUUGGCUCUGCAUUUCUGCAGCAUCUAGUUCAUGAGCUGUAACUGCACGUCCAAGAAUAAGAACAGCAGCAAUGUGCAAGCUGAUUCCAGCUUCCGGCAGCGGCCAGAAGUUACUGUGCUCAGAAGUCUGUUCAUAAAUCAAUGUGAAAUGCACUGUCUGAGCGUAGCUCCCAGUAGACACACACAUCUGCAUUACACAUACCACUGACAAAACCGGCGAUGGGAAAAAAAUAUCUAAACAUAUCCUUCCUACAGCUGUGUAAGAAUGAAUAAAGAUGUCUAAGUCCCCUGUCCUG